rnacentral:rRNA from 1 species
GACGAACGCUGGCGGCGUGCUUAACACAUGCAAGUCGAACGGACAGGCCUCAUCUUUCUUUGGUACUCGAGUGGCGAACGGGUGUGUAACCCGUGGGUGAUCUUCCUUUCACUCUGGGAUAUGCUUUUGAAACUGGGUCUAAUACCGGAUAUGAUCUGCCUUUCGUUUGUUUGUUUGAUAGUUUUUUCGGUGCUAGAUGAGCUCGCGGCCUAUCUGCUUGUUGGUGGGGUAAUGGCCUACCAAGGCGUCGACGGGUAGCCGGCCUGGGAGGGUGUACGGCCAAAUUGGGAAUGAGAUACGGCCCAGACGCGUACGGGAGGAAGAAGUGGGGAAAAAUGAAAAAUGGGCGGAAGGCAGAUGAAGAGAAGCGGAGGGGGGGAUGACGGGCUUCGGGUUGGAAAAAAGAAUCGACAGGGAAGAAGCAUUUUGUGACGGUAACUGAAUAAGAAGCACCGGCUAACUACGUG